rnacentral:tRNA from 1 species
ACUAUGACUGAUGGUCGAGAGGCAAGGACACUUGAUUCUCACUCAAAAGUUCCGGGUUCGAAUUCCGGCCGUGGCA